UUCGUCCUCCUCACCCCUCUGCUUUCAGGCCUGGCCUGGGUGUCCGCCUUACACCCAGACCCUUCACUGCUUCGGAGCCCCGCCAAGGCCUGCGCAUCCACGUUGCGUUUCCCCGAGGCUCUUCUGGCACCCUUGGGCUGGCAUGGUCACUUCAGUCCCUCCCCCAAAAUAGGUUGUCUCUCUGAGGGCUCUCAGCGGCGCCUGACUUCCUACUGAAGCCCCUCUGUGUCACCUGACACUGAGGCAGACUCUUCGCGGGGCACCCCAUCCACUCCCCUGAGGCCUCACUCUCCUCCCAGCCUGCCGCGACCCUCUCCUAGCCCAUGGGUCCAGGCGAGGCCUGGGCUCCCACCUCCGAGAGAGAAGACGCUUUUCAAAGGUCUGUGGCGACUGGAGGGCACCGAGCCUCCCCCAACUAGAACUGCCCAUCUUGUGUGCUCCUUCCCCACAACUGGCACCCCUGCCCAGAUUCCAGCUGAUAUUCUUCUCAACCCAGACCCCCAGCACACGUAUCUGCUUCCCCAUCUCCAUCCCAGGCCCAAGCCUCUCCCUUUAGGACUCGUGGUCGACGCCCCUGGAUCUCUCUCCUAAAAUGGCUCCCCGGACGCUGCACACUGGCCCUGCGGUAGCUCAGGACCCAGGGCAGCGGCGAUGACUUCAAUCCGGGUCUUUAUGUGUCUGGGGGUUCGCAAAAAUUCUCGCACCUUCUCUCUGCUGGCAGCACGGGGUGGGGCGCAGGCAGCCCGGCGCCCCCAGUGUGGAGCCUGCUGACCGCCAAAGAGGGAAAUGGGGAGGACGAACCAUUCAAGUUCAACGACAUGGCGACGGCAGCUCCGGCGGGAGCAGCGAUUUGGCGGGGGAGGGGAAAACCGCAGCCUCCGGACCCGCGCGUCCCGCUCGAGAACCUACCGUGAAGACCCCGGCUCUGUGGCCUUGUCCUUGUCUGCGCGG